rnacentral:rRNA from 1 species
CGGACGGGUGAGUAACACGUGGAUAACCUACCUAUAAGACUGGGAUAACUUCGGGAAACCGGAGCUAAUACCGGAUAAUACAUUGAACCGCAUGGUUCAAUAGUGAAAGACGGUUUUGCUGUCACUUAUAGAUGUAUCCGCGCCGCAUUAGCUAGUUGGUAAGGUAACGGCUUACCAAGGCAACGAUGCGUAGCCGACCUGAGAGGGUGAUCGGCCACACUGGAACUGAGACACGGUCCAGACUCCUACGGGAGGCAGCAGAC